AUUGAACGCUGGCGGCAGGCUUAACACAUGCAAGUCGAGCGGGGGAAGGUAGCUUGCUACCGGACCUAGCGGCGGACGGGUGAGUAAUGCUUAGGAAUCUGCCUAUUAGUGGGGGACAACAUCUCGAAAGGGAUGCUAAUACCGCAUACGUCCUACGGGAGAAAGCAGGGGAUCUUCGGACCCUGCGCUAAUAGAUGAGCCUAAGUCGGAUUAGCUAGUUGGUGGGGUAAAGGCCUACCAAGGCGACGAUCUGUAGCGGGUCUGAGAGGAUGAUCCGCCACACUGGGACUGGGACACGGCCCAGACUCCUACGGGAGGCAGCAGUGAGGAAUAUUGGACAAUGGGGGGAACCCUGAUCCAGCCAUGCCGCGUGUGUGAAGAAGGCCUUAUGGUUGUAAAGCACUUUAAGCGAGGAGGAGGCUACUUUAGUUAAUACCUAGAGAUAGUGGACGUUACUCGCAGAAUAAGCACCGGCUAACUCUGUGCCAGCAGCCGCAGUAACAC
rnacentral:rRNA from 1 species